UCAGCUUUAAAUACAUUAUUUUAUUUUGGUACCCAAACCUUACGAGUGUUCCAAUGGUUAAUAUUUUUAGGAUUUAAUCCCUUAUAGUUUAUCUUGUAAAAAAUUUUCUUCAUAGGACAAGCAUCUAUAAUAUGUCCAUUUCUUCCACAUGACUUGCAAGUAGUGAAUGAAGAAUUUAGGCAUGAUUCUUUAUCAAAAAAGUUUUUAUAAAAUAUUUGUUUAUU
rnacentral:lncRNA from 1 species